rnacentral:ncRNA from 1 species
GUGUAAGUAUGAACAAAUUCAGACUGUGAAACUGUGAAUGGCUCAUUAAAUCAGGUAUAGUUUCUUUGAUGGUAUCUACUACUAGGAUGACCAUAGUAAUUCUAGAGCCAAUACAUAUAACAAACCCCAACUUCUGGAAGGGUUGUAUUUAUUAGAUAAAAGGUCGAUGCAGGCUCUACCGAUUGUUGCAACGAUUCAUGAUAACUUGACGAAUCACAAGACCAUCAUGCCGGCAAUGCAUCAUUCAAAUUUCUUUCCUAUUAAUUUUUGAUGGUAGGAUAGUGGCCUAUCAUGGUGGUGAUGUGAAGCAUCCUGGGUUUUGAG